UACAGAGGGUGCGAGCGUUAAUCGGAAUUACUGGGCGUAAAGCGUGCGUAGACGGUUAUUUAAGUCGGAUGUGAAAGCCCCGGGCUCAACCUGGGAAUUGCAUUCGAGACUGAAUAGCUAGGGUGCGGUAGAGGGAAGCGGAAUUUCCGGUGUAGCGGUGAAAUGCGUAGAUAUCCGAAGGAACAUCAGUGGCGAAAGCGGCUUCCUGGACCAGAACUGACGAUCAGGCACGAAAGCGUGGGGAGCAAACAGG
rnacentral:rRNA from 1 species